CUUCAAGCCGUGGGCAGACUCAGAGGAGCAGCCUGCCAGGCCCCUUUCUGCUGCAGAAAUGAUCACACCCCGUAAGCAGGGAAAUUGCAGCAUCACCAUGAAGCACUGGAAGCUGAUACUGGUGGAAAUGAAGUUCUGGGCUGCAGCAAGCUCAGCAGAGCUGGAGGAGAGCAGGACAAGCUCGUGCCACACAGCUGCGGAGCUUAGUGCUCCAAGCUCCACAACCAGCCCGCCGGCCACCUGGAACCUGACAACUGCCCAGAGCGCAGGGCAGAGCUGUCCCGGGCUCUUCCAGCAGCAGGGCUGGCUCCCUCAUGCCCGUCUUUCCACCUGAACGUUCCCUGGUCUGGUUAGAACAGUCUUCAGAAGAAAAACGAUGGUCAUCACACGCCAGAUAAAUUAGUCCCAAGAAGAAAAACCCCUGUUUGGAUCCACAGGUGCAUUUCUGAUCCCAGGAUCCAGUCUAUGCCAUUGGAAGGAUGUGAUUUCAGCCAGGAAAUGCGACAUCAGCUGCAACAAAGAGUAAAUCCAAGAGUCAUCCAAAGCAGAGCAGGUCUCUACUCUGCCUGUACUUCUGAGCGAGCAGCUGAGGACACAAGCGACUCUCCUAACUGCUGUUCACUGAUGAUGUAACACUUCAUCACCCCACUGCCUCUAAACUUACCAUCUUUGGCAUCAAAACUGGAAAAACACGGGACAGCAGCACCAGAUUCUGUGUGCCAGAACAUCUCCUCCCUGACCUGGAAACAUCACACCAAAGAAGUGAAUUCAUCCUCUGUGCUCAGUCACUGCAUUUAUGCGUCUUGCUGCACAACAAGCCCGCGGGGAUGGCUGGUGAAAAAGGCAGGAGUCAGCACGAAAAAGGGCCCUGCAGCCUGGCAUCGCUUCUCUGCAGUGACUCACCUCCUGUCAAGUAGGGCUGUGGGCUCUGCAAGUUUUAGGUUCGGCUUGGUUAGUUCAGCACAGAACCAGCCUGAUCUAGAGCCACCAGAGACACCAGGAGCUGGGGCCCAGUGUCACUGGGAGAGGAGCCAGCCGGGGACAUGGAGGAGGACCCGGGAGAAGCACUGAGGAGCUGCAGGGAGCUCCAGAGAUGGAGGGUACUGUGAGUCCAGGAAUAACCAGGGCUGGUACCUGCACAGCGGCUCUGGGAGCAGAUCAGCGAGAAGGCGGCAGCAGAGGCAGCUCGGGGCACUGUCUCCUGCCACGGACUGGCCACAGAGCGAGGCCAGCCUGACCCAGGAGCGAAUUCCUAACCUGUUCCUCACACCGAGCAUGGGAGAAGCAGGGAGAGAGCUGUGCCUGCUGCAGUGUACUCAGGGUCAUGUCUAAAGGCAUGUCAGAUGGCAACAUGAACAGCAGAAAAGCCCUGGGCCAACAGGAUCUGUUGUUCCAGAAGGAGCCCAGCUGUUUCACACAGUUACAAAGCCGGCUGCCAAAUCUCCUCACAUGCUGAUGAUGCCGAGAUCAGGAAUGAGUCUCCGCACAGUUGCCAUGGGUGCGAGUCAGGCGACUGUGGCUCAGGCAUUUCAAUGAAUCAUAGAAUGUCCCGAGCUGGAAGGGACCCACAAGCAUCAUCGAGUCCAACUCCUGUCCCUGCACAGGAUAACCCCAAAAUUCACAUGCAUUUUUGUGUUUCUGAUUUACCUAGAACCCAGGGCAGGAUCAUCCACUCCACGAUGGUGGGAGGUGGUCCCUGCAUGUGGAGGUCAGUCCUGACGAUGUGCUGCGACGCCAGCAAGAGCAUGAAGAGGAAGGUUAGGUUCUGACUGUCUCAAACAGAUCACUGUCAGCGUCUUUAAGAAGCGACUAAAUGAUGAGACAGGAGGGAAAAGGUGUAAAGCUCUGGGAAGGUUUGUGUGAGAGGGCUGGAUGCAUCCAGCAGCGUGUGGGGAGCUGCCCGUGGGUCUGUGCACGGAGGGCACACGCGUGUGCGCGGGCGGGCAGGAGCCAGCACGCCGCGAUGUGCGGCUCAGCCGGGCGACGUCUGCUGGGCAGCAGGACAGCACGCUGGGGAACGCGCCUCGCCGCGAGGAACGCAGCGCUUGU